rnacentral:rRNA from 1 species
UUGCACCUUUCAAGCGAGUGGCGAACGGGUGAGUAACACGUGGAUAACCUGCCUCAAGGCUGGGGAUAACAUUUGGAAACAGAUGCUAAUACCGAAUAAAACUUAGUAUCGCAUGAUACAAAGUUAAAAGGCGCUACGGCGUCACCUAGAGAUGGAUCCGCGGUGCAUUAGUUAGUUGGUGGGGUAAAGGCUUACCAAGACAAUGAUGCAUAGCCGAGUUGAGAGACUGAUCGGCCACAUUGGGACUGAGACACGGCCCAAACUCCUACGGGAGGCUGCAGUAGGGAAUCUUCCACAAUGGGCGCAAGCCUGAUGGAGCAACGCCGCGUGUGUGAUGAAGGCUUUCGGGUCGUAAAGCACUGUUGUAUGGGAAGAAAUGCUAAAAUAGGGAAUGAUUUUAGUUUGACGGUACCAUACCAGAAAGGACGGCUAAAUACGUGCCAGCAGCCGCGGUAAUACGUAUGUCCCGAGCGUUAUCCGGAUUUAUUGGGCGUAAAGCGAGCGCAGACGGUUGAUUAAGUCUGAUGUGAAAGCCCGCAGCUCAACUCCGGAAUGGCAUUGGAAACUGGUUAACUUGAGUGUUGUAGAGGUAAGUGGAACUCCAUGUGUAGCGGUGGAAUGCGUAGAUAUAUGGAAGAACACCAGUGGCGAAGGCGGCUUACUGGACAACAACUGACGUUGAGGCUCGAAAGUGUGGUAGCAAACAGGAUUAGAUACCCUGGUAGUCCACACCGUAAACGAUGAAUACUAGGUGUUAGGAGGUUUCCCGCCUCUAGUGCCGAAGCUAACGCAUUAAGUAUUCCGCCUGCAGAGUACGACCGUCUACGAUGAAACUCAAGAGAAGUGAUCGGGGACCCUCACAUGCGAUGGAGCAUAGCGUCUACUUCCGAGCUACGCCAA